UGCAAUAUAGUUUAAAAAAAAUACUUAUUUUACACGUAAGAGUUUCCUGACUAUGGGUUUUGUGA
rnacentral:tRNA from 1 species